GAUGAAGAACGUAGCGAAAUGCGAUAAGUAAUGUGAAUUGCAGAAUUCAGUGAAUCAUCGAAUCUUUGAACGCACAUUGCGCCCGCCAGUAUUCUGGCGGGCAUGCCUGUCCGAGCGUCAUUUCAACCCUCGAACCCCUCCGGGGGGUCGGCGUUGGGGAUCGGGAACCCCUAAGACGGGAUCCCGGCCCCGAAAUACAGUGGCGGUCUCGCCGCAGCCUCUCCUGCGCAGUAGUUUGCACAACUCGCACCGGGAGCGCGGCGCGUCCACGUUCGUAAAACACCCAACUUUCUGAAAUGUUGACCUCGGAUCAGGUAGGAAUACCCGCUGAACUUAAGCAUAUCAUAAGCGGAGGA
rnacentral:misc_RNA from 1 species